GUGCUUGCUUUAGUGGCAUAUAUACUUUUUUAAAACACAGAGAAGUUUAGUGUGGCUCCUGUACAAGAAUGGCUCUCAAAUCUGUGUGAAGCAUUUCAUUAGA
rnacentral:snRNA from 1 species